UCGUAGAGCAUCGGCUCUUCGGGCCUUGCUGCACCCUUGUCCUUUUCGAGCACCUGUUGUUUCCUCGGCAGGCCUGCCUGCCAAUGGUGGACAUUCUUCAAACCCUUUUGGAUAACUUGCAAUCAAAUCGUCUGAAAACAAAAUAAUUAAUUAC
rnacentral:misc_RNA from 1 species